rnacentral:rRNA from 1 species
UACGUAGGGAGCAAGCGUUGUCCGGAAUCAUUGGGCGUAAAGCGCGCGUAGGCGGCCCCGUAAGUCCGCUGUGAAAGUCAAAGGCUCAACCUUUGAAAGCCGGUGGAUACUGUGGGGCUAGAGUACGGAAGAGGCGAGUGGAAUUCCUGGUGUAGCGGUGGAAUGCGCAGAUAUCGUAAGGAAGACCAGUGGCGAAGGCGAAUCUCUGGACAGUUACUGACACUGAGGCACGAAAGGCCAGGGGAGCAAACGGG